rnacentral:lncRNA from 1 species
ACACGCCGCGAGCUAAGCAGAAAAGGGAGGCAGGCUGCCCCGACACCCCACUACUCACCGCUAGGUUUCCGUCUGGCGCCGAUCCGGCUGCGUCACGCCGGCCGAACGACACCCCGCUGAGUCGCCGCCGCAGGGAAGGUACCUUCGGCCCCAACGGGAAAAGCCAAUUUCCAGUAAUUCGCGCCCGACCACCGGGGAGUGAAUGUUUCCCUCUGAGGAUGAAGAUCACUAUAAACAACUCUGAUGAGAUCAUGCUGACACAAUGCCCCUUCUGUCAAAGCCAUGGAUCCAAUUGUUGAAGGCUACAAAAAUAAGGACGUGACUUGACUCUCCUGCCUCUCUGCUUAUGUUCAAUUGAUAGCUGCUUCCAGAAACCUCACCGGCUCCUCAUCUCAACAGGCCAAAACUAUACCUCUUCAUAAGACCCAGCUUAGAUGGCAUCACCUCAAUAAAGCCUGCCAUGAUAACUUCAGCUAACAUCUGAGUUUCUCUCUAAAAUCCUCUUAUUAUACAAACCACAUUAUUAGUUAUCUAUAAACAUGUCUUUUCGAACACAGCAGGAGUUUCCUAAAAGCAGGUGCCACACAUGUAAUUCUCCAUAUUUUCAGUGUCCAACUCAAUGGCAUACAUCCAAAAACAUUCAUAAAUAUUGGUCAAAUAAAACAAUUUGAAGAUAUAAAUAAAAUAUUAAUAAUACAAUCAAUUAUAGUAGUUUUACAUACUUUAUAAAAUACAUUAUCAAAAAAAUGCAUUAUCAAUAUCUACCCCUGUACUCAACCUAAUUAGUUCAAACAAGUUACACUUAUAGACAUUUGAAUUGUUUUUUCUUUUUUUGAGACAGGGUCUUGCUCUCUUGCCCAGGCUUGAGCACAGUGGCACAAUCAUGGCUCACUGCAUCCUCGAUGUCCUCGGCUCCAGAGAUCUUCCCAUCUCAGUAUCCUCAGUAGCUGGGACUACAGGCAUAUGCCACCAUGCCCAGCUAAUUUUUUAUAGAGACGAGGUUUGGCCAAGCUGCCCAGGCUGGUCUCAAACUCCUGGGCUCAAGUGAUCCUCCCACCUUGGCCUCCUAAAGUGCUGGAAUUACAGGCAUGAGUCACUACAUCCGGCCUCAAUUUAUUUAUUAUUUUUAAUUUUUUUUUUUUUUUGAGACGGAGUCUCACUCUUUCACCCAGGCUGGAGUGCAGUGGUACAAUCUUGGCUCACUGCAACCUCUAACUCCUCAGUUCCAGCAAUUCUCCUGCCUCAGCCUCCCAGGUAGCUGGGAUUACAGGAACACACCACCAUGCUCAGCUAAUUUCUGUAUUUUUAGUAGAGACGGAGUCUCACCAUGUUGGCCAGGCUGGUCUCGAACUCCUGACCUCAAGUGAUAUGCCUGCCUUGGCCUCCCAAAAAUGCUGGGAUUACAGGCAUGAGCCACUGCGCCUGGCCAAUUUAUUUUUCUCUAAACAUUCCUUAAGUAUUAUUUCAGAGGACCUUAAAAAAUACUUAAAAUUUCCCAAACUGUCAUCUUCAACUUACCAAAUUGUAAAUUCCUAACAGAAGUGCUUCAAUGCAACCAUUACUCUGUCUGUCUCGGCUAACUGUAAGCCGUAAAUAAACCCACAUCAAUUCUGGCAAGAACUGCAGUGUGAACCUCUUAAGUCGAACCUCUGAGCUACGAUAGAGCUCAAACAGCUGAUGGCAGACAGGCUCCAGGAGCUAAAAGGAAAAUAAAGUGCACUGGUCAUUUCAAUUCUUUUGGUUGUAACUGUUGUUUUUUUUUUUUUAAGGCACCUAUAUCUGUAUAAUAUUUUUAAAAGUCUUAAUAUUAAUUUCUCCACAUUUUAAUUUAACCAAAACCUUUGUGUAAAGAGACCACAUAUUAAACUGACCAAUCCACUAACUAUAAGAAGUAUUUUGUGCCCAUACAUCAAUGUACCUUUCAGUAUACUGUACUACUAAAUUUACUAGAUUAUUAGUCCUUUAGCCAAUGUACUACAUUUAUAUUUGAGAAGAAUUUUCCUUUCUAUUCUUAUCAACUCUAUCUUCCAUUUCAAAAACUUUCCAUUGAAAUAAAAUAAUUUUGCAUAAUAUUGCUGGGAAUAAACUUAAAAUCUCAACUGAGACUAUGAUUUAAGCAAAUUAUAUACCACUCUUACUGAAAAAUGUGUGUUGAUACAGAAUUUUCUAAGAGUCAUGCUGUUGGGCAAAGCAACUCUGUUUUUCAACCACUGCUAAUCAGUUUCUGACAGUCAAAAAUUCUGUACAUAUUUUGGAAUCAGAAGAAUCCUAUGUAAAUCAUUUGUUACUUAAAUCUGUGAAAAACAUGUUUCUUUGGAGGAAAAUGUAUGCAUUUGUAAGUGUUCUGUGGAAUCAGUUUUCAUUGUAUUGAUGUCAUUGUCUCUAAGUGCUCAGUGUCUUCACUGCAAUAUGAAAUUUAUUAAAGCAUCCACAUUCCAUUUUAAAAAAACUUAUAUACCACUCAGUAGAAGAAGGGAUUUUGCAAUACAUAUUUGUGCAUCCAAAAUUCUAGCUAAUAUUUAAAAUACAUACAAGUGAGGCAAACUAUUUUAAAACUGACUUAAAUUUUUCUUAUUGUAUUUAUGUGAAAGAUUUUAUAAAGGAGAAAAGUAUCCAGAAAUAGCUUUUUCAGUGUUCAAUUGGCUAAUUUUUCAUACGAUAUCACACAAUAUGACUUAUGAGGAACUUCAUGACCUAGAAAACUGAAGAAAAUGAGCAGUUAAAAUAAACUUUCCCACUUUUCCCUAAAUAUGUACUGCCAAUUUAGAAUGGGUUUGCUGGAGUAACCGUAGGCUGCAGAAAACUGGCUAUGACUUUAAAAUUCAUAUAAAAUAUUGACAAGAAACUAUAAAGUAAUUUUUAAAGUUUAAUACUAACUCUUUAAAAAAAAAGAAUAAUAGUUCAGUAAUUUCAUGUACUUUCCUCUAUUCUAAAUGAUUAAAAUAAUGCAUAUACAUUUGGAAAUCUGUUUGAAUAUAGUUACAUACAUCUGUAAUAAUCUAACACUCUACAAUAAAAAGUCACUGUCAUGAUUAUAAAAAGUUAACAAAUCCAUGUCAAUUAUACAGUUAACAUAUUUAGAAGAGUUAGGCUUAGCUCUGGAAGAAUUCUAAAGCUUAAAAAAUUUACAUACAUAUACAUCCUAGUCUAGUAAAUACUAAGCCCUUUAUGUGAAAUCACUAUCAGAACAGUUUUUAAAAUCUUAAAAAAUUUUCCAGAGGCUGGGUGUGGAGGUACACAUCCAGCUAUUCACAAGGUUGAAGAGGGUGGAUAGCUUGAGCCCAGGAGUUUGAGGCUGCAUUGAACCAUGACAGCAUCACUGCACUCCAGCCUGGGUAACAGAGCAAGACUGACACAAAAGAAAAAUAUUCCAACUCUUCCCUUACAUUGAAGUCUAGACCAGUCAGACAAUUUGUCAAAGGUUGGUGAAGUUAAUGGUGAAAUAAGACACUAAAUUCAGGUCUUCUGACAUCAAGUUGAUGUUUCCACUCUACCGCACUUCUUAUAUUAGAAUGGAGGUAUAGAUUGUUUAAUCACAAAACAGUGUAUUCUAUGUAGUGCCAAUAAUGAACAAGUAAUAAACUUUUGGAAACUGUCA